UGGGGAAUUUUGGACAAUGGGCGAAAGCCUGAUCCAGCAAUGCCGCGUGUGUGAAGAAGGCCUUCGGGUUGUAAAGCACUUUUGUCCGGAAAGAAAUCCUUGGCUCUAAUACAGUCGGGGGAUGACGGUACCGGAAGAAUAAGCACCGGCUAACUACGUGCCAGCAGCCGCGGUAAUACGUAGGGUGCAAGCGUUAAUCGGAAUUACUGGGCGUAAAGCGUGCGCAGGCGGUUUGCUAAGACCGAUGUGAAAUCCCCGGGCUCAACCUGGGAACUGCAUUGGUGACUGGCAGGCUAGAGUAUGGCAGAGGGGGGUAGAAUUCCACGUGUAGCAGUGAAAUGCGUAGAGAUGUGGAGGAAUACCGAUGGCGAAGGCAGCCCCCUGGGCCAAUACUGACGCUCAUGCACGAAAGCGUGGGGAGCAAACAGGAUUAGAUACCCUGGUAGUCCACGCCCUAAACGAUGUCAACUAGUUGUUGGGGAUUCAUUUCCUUAGUAACGUAGCUAACGCGUGAAGUUGACCGCCUGGGGAGUACGGCCGCAAGAUUAAAACUCAAAUGAAUUGACGGGGUCAUAGCUGUUUCCU
rnacentral:rRNA from 1 species